AUGAACGCUGGCGGCGUGCCUAAUACAUGCCAGUCGAGCGAACGGACGAGAAGCUUGCUUUUCUGAUGUUAGCGGCGGACGGGUGAGUAACACGUGGAUAACCUACCUAUAAGACUGGGAUAACUUCGGGAAACCGGAGCUAAUACCGGAUAAUAUUUUGAACCGCCUGGUUCAAAAGUGAAAGACGGUCUUGCUGUCACUUAUAGAUGGAUCCGCGCUGCAUUAGCUAGUUGGUAAGGUAACGGCUUACCAAGGCAACGAUGCAUAGCCGACCUGAGAGGGUGAUCGGCCACACUGGAACUGAGACACGGUCCAGACUCCUACGGGAGGCAGCAGUAGGGAAUCUUCCGCAAUGGGCGAAAGCCUGACGGAGCAACGCCGCGUGAGUGAUGAAGGUCUUCGGAUCGUAAAACUCUGUUAUUAGGGAAGAACAUAUGUGUAAGUAACUGUGCACAUCUUGACGGUACCUAAUCAGAAAGCCACGGCUAACUACGUG
rnacentral:rRNA from 1 species